rnacentral:rRNA from 1 species
UAGAGGCCUACCAUGGUGGUAACGGGUAACGGGGUGUUAGGGCACGACACCGGAGAGGGAGCCUGAGAAACGGCUACCACAUCCAAGGAUGGCAGCAGGCGCGCAAAUUACCCAAUCCCGACACGGGGAGGUAGUGACAAUAAAUAACAAUACGGGGUUCUUUCGGAUCUCGUAAUUGGAAUGAGUACAAUUUAAAUCUCUUAACGAGGAACAAUUGGAGGGCAAGUCUGGUGCCAGCAGCCGCGGUAAUUCCAGCUCCAAUAGCGUAUAUUAAAGUUGUUGCAGUUAAAAAGCUCGUAGUUGAAUUUCGGGGUUAGUAGGUUGGUCAUGCCUCUGGUAUGUACUGGUCUCACUGAUUCCUCCUUCCUGAUGAACCGUAAUGCCAUUAAUUUGGUGUUGCGGGGAAUUUGGACUGUUACUUUGAAAAAAUUAGAGUGUUUAAAGCAAGCUAACGCUUGAAUACAUUAGCAUGGAAUAAUGAAAUAGGACGUUCGAUCCUAUUUUGUUGGUUUCUAGGAUUGACGUAAUGAUUAAUAGGGAUAGUUGGGGGCAUUAGUAUUCAAUUGUCAGAGGUGAAAUUCUUGGAUUUAUUGAAGACUAACUACUGCGAAAGCAUUUGCCAAGGAUGUUUUCAUUAAUCAAGAACGAAAGUUAGGGGAUCGAAGACGAUCAGAUACCGUCGUAGUCUUAACCAUAAACUAUGCCGACUAG